rnacentral:rRNA from 1 species
UACGAAGGGACCUAGCGUAGUUCGGAAUUACUGGGCUUAAAGAGUUCGUAGGUGGUUGAAAAAGUUGGUGGUGAAAUCCCAGAGCUUAACUCUGGAACUGCCAUCAAAACUUUUCAGCUAGAGUAUGAUAGAGGAAAGCAGAAUUUCUAGUGUAGAGGUGAAAUUCGUAGAUAUUAGAAAGAAUACCAAUUGCGAAGGCAGCUUUCUGGAUCAUUACUGACACUGAGGAACGAAAGCAUGGGUAGCGAAGAGGAUUAGAUACCCUCGUAGUCCAUGCCGUAAACGAUGUGUGUUAGACGUUGGAAAUUUAUUUUCAGUGUCGCAGCGAAAGCGAUAAACACACCGCCUGGGGAGUACGACCGCAAGGUUAAAACUCAAAUGAAUUGACGGGGACCCGCACAAGUAGUGGAGCAUGUGGUUUAAUUCGAAGAUACGCGCAGAACCUUACCAACACUUGACAUGUUCGUCGCGACUCUAAGAGAUUAGAGUUUUCGGUUCGGCCGGACGAAACACAGGUGCUGCAUGGCUGUCGUCAGCUCGUGUCGUGAGAUGUUGGGUUAAGUCCCGCAACGAGCGCAACCCUCACUUUUAGUUGCCAUCAUUAAGUUGGGCACUCUGAAAGAACUGCCAGUGAUAAGCUGGAGGAAGGUGGGGAUGACGUCAAGUCCUCAUGGCCCUUACGUGUUGGGCUACACACGUGCUACAAUGGUAUCUACAACAGGAAGCAAGACUGCGAAGUUAAGCAAAUCCCUAAAAGAUGCCUCAGUUCGGAUUGCACUCUGCAACUCGAGUGCAUGAAGCUGGAAUUACUAGUAAUCGUGGAUCAGCGUGCCACGGUGAAUGCGUUCCCGGGUCU